UUUUUUAAAUCGUAUCUUUAUCUCAGUCCAAUGUCCAUGCUCCAUAUCUCAGUCAUUAAGAUUAUACAUCAGUUCAUCAGUUGUAUCGUUUGUUAAGAAACCGUGUGAAAACAAUAACUUAACGUCUGAAAUGUUUAAUAUCAAGUGCGAAAUGUGAAUAUAACACGUGAAAGACGUUUUUACGGACUCCUUCCUGUUCGAAAAUAACUUAUACAGUUGCAAAACGGCUCAUGGAUUGCACUGCCCGCAGCGCCGGAGCUAAGGUGAAGUCAGACGCGGAGCUCAAAGAUAGAAGAAGAGUGAUGUACUUAACUCCAAAUUCAGUUUUUUGUGUAGCCUGUGGGCUGAUUAUACAAAGAAUACUCUACAAUAAUGCAUCCAGGACAUUUUUGGGGCUGCCCCGAUGC